rnacentral:rRNA from 1 species
UACGUAGGGAGCAAGCGUUGUCCGGAAUCAUUGGGCGUAAAGCGCGCGUAGGCGGCCCUGUAAGUCCGUUGUGAAAGUCAAAGGCUCAACCUUUGAAAGCCGAUGGAUACUGUAGGGCUAGAGUCCGGAAGAGGCGAGUGGAAUUCCUGGUGUAGCGGUGGAAUGCGCAGAUAUCAGGAGGAACACCAAUAGCGAAGGCAGCUCGCUGGGACGGUACUGACGCUAAGGCGCGAAAGCGUGGGGAGCGAACAGG